UAAACACAGGGACACAUUUGAAGUCUCGGAGCCGGGUGUUGGUUCCGGUAGUGAUCGAGGGAAAUUAGUACCGAAGUCCGGGAUGGGAGAUGGCGAGAAAAGCUGUGUGUAUUUCUGCGGUGCCCGUACCGCAAACCGACACAGGUAGGUAGGAAGAAGAUUCUAAGGCCAACGGGAGAAGGGUUGUUAAGGAACUCGGCAAAUUGACCCCGUAACUUCGGGAGAAGGGGUGCUCUAGAGAUAGAGCCGCAGAGAAUCGGCCCAAGCAACUGUUUACCAAAAACACAGGUUUGUGCUAAAUCGAAAGAUGACGUAUACGAGCUGACGCCUGCCCGGUGCUGGAAGGUUAAGAGGAGAUGUGCAAGCAUUGAAUCGAAGCCCCAGUGAACGGCGGCGUAACAAUAACGGUCCUAAGGUAGCGAAAUUCCUUGUCAGGUAAGUCCUGACCCGCAUGAAAGGCGUAAUGAUUUGGGCACUGUCUCGACAGCCCGCCCGGCGAAAUUGUAGUACCGGUGAAGAUGCCGGUUACCCGCGACAAGACGGAAAGACCCCAUGGAGCUUUACUGUAGCCUAAUAUUGGGUUUCGAUGUUGCAUGCACAGGAUAGAUGGGACACUGGGAAGCAAGUGCUUUGGCAUUUGUGGAGUGGCCGUUGGGAUACCAUCCUUGCGAUAUUGGAACUCUAACCUGCGCCUUUGAAUCAAGGCGGGGGACAUUGUUAGGUGGGCAGUUUGACUGGGGCGGUCGCCUCCUAAAGAGUAACGGAGGCGUUCAAAGGUUCGCUCAGCUUGAACGGAAAUCAAGCAAAAGAGUGCAAACGCAGAAGCGAGCCUAACUGCGAGACUGACGGGUCGAGCAGUAACGAAAGUUGGAGUUAGUGAUCCGGUGGUAUGUGAGUGGAAAUGCCAUCGCUCAACGGAUAAAAGUUACCCUGGGGAUAACAGGCUGAUCUCCCCCAAGAGUCCACAUCGACGGGGAGGUUUGGCACCUCGAUGUCGGCUCAUCGCAUCCUGGGGCUGUAUUCGGUCCCAAGGGUUUGGCUGUUCGCCAAUUAAAGCGGUACGCGAGCUGGGUUCAGAACGUCGUGAGACAGUUCGGUCCCUAUCUGUCGUGGGCGCAGGAUAUUUGAUGGGAGCUGUUCCUAGUACGAGAGGACCGGAGCGGACGUACCUCUGGCGCACCAGUUGUUCUGCCAAGGGCAUAGCUGGGCAACUAUGUACGGAUCGGAUAAACGCUAAAAGCAUCUAAGCGUGAAGCCGACCCAAAGAUAAGAUAUCCCAUUGUUUCAAACAAGUAAGACCCCUUGAAGACUACAAGGUUGAUAGGCAUGACGUGUAAGUGGAGUGAUCCAUUCAGCAAGCAUGUACUAAUAGGUCGAGGGCUUGACCG
rnacentral:rRNA from 1 species